AAUAGAUGACGCCGUUGACUUUUUCUUAUAUGUUUGACCAUUCGUCUUAUUCAAAAAAUUUACGUAAUUAUAAUUUAUUUUAUUAUGAGUUGUUUUAUCACUCAUAGUACUUUAAGUAUGAUUUAUAUCUUAUACAUUUGCAUAAAUUUUUUUAAUAAGACGAAUGGACAAACAUGUGAGAAAAAAUCAACGGCGUCAUAUAUU
rfam:Oryza sativa Japonica Group DNA, chromosome 1, cultivar: Nipponbare, complete sequence.